rnacentral:lncRNA from 1 species
GAGACCUCGAACAUCCGCUGUCAGCAGGCACAAGGCUGUGUUCCGAGAUGAGCAACCGAAGCCUCCUCUGCAUGUGUGAAAAAGAAGCAAGAGGAGAAAGCAGGGCUCCUGAAAGCCAGGCUGAUGAGGGAAAUUCCUGUGCUGAGUAAACAUGAAUUUCUGAAUAGGCAGAGUCUAUGUGUGAACAGCACAGGAGCUCGCCCCACCCCACCCCGGCAGAUCCUCCUGACUUGUCACCGAGAGUGGCUGGAAUGAGUGGUGCUGCAGGAAACGCGGAGCCGAACUUUACAAUAAAAAAAAAAAAAGUAAACUU